rnacentral:rRNA from 1 species
GACGAACGCUGGCGGCACGCUUAACACAUGCAAGUCGAACGGAGAAUAUCGAAGCUUGCUUUGAUAUUCUUAGUGGCGGACGGGUGAGUAACACGUGAGUAACCUGCCUCUGAGAGUGGGAUAGCUUCUGGAAACGGAUGGUAAUACCGCAUGAAAUCAUAGUAUCGCAUGGUACAAUGAUCAAAGAUUUAUCGCUCAGAGAUGGACUCGCGUCUGAUUAGCUAGUUGGUAAGGUAACGGCUUACCAAGGCGACGAUCAGUAGCCGGACUGAGAGGUUGAUCGGCCACAUUGGGACUGAGACACGGCCCAGACUCCUACGGGAGGCAGCAGUGGGGAAUAUUGCACAAUGGGGGAAACCCUGAUGCAGCGAUGCCGCGUGGAGGAAGAAGGUUUUCGGAUUGUAAACUCCUGUUGAAGAGGACGAUAAUGACGGUACUCUUUUAGAAAGCUCCGGCUAACUACGUG